UACGUAGGGGGCUAGCGUUGUCCGGAAUCAUUGGGCGUAAAGCGCGCGUAGGCGGCCAGAUAAGUCCGGUGUGAAAGUCACAGGCUCAACCUGUGAAUGCCGCUGGAAACUGUCUGGCUUGAGUCCGGAAGGGGCGAGUGGAAUUCCUGGUGUAGCGGUGAAAUGCGCAGAUAUCAGGAAGAACACCAACGGCGAAGGCAGCUCGCUGGGACGGAACUGACGCUGAGACGCGAAAGCGUGGGGAGCAAACAGG
rnacentral:rRNA from 1 species